rnacentral:piRNA from 1 species
UGCAGGACAAGAUUUCUCAGCCGCAC